CUUUUCACAAUCCUUCAUAUGUUUUAAGGAAAAAGGAUCGUUAAAAUAAUUUGCUGCUAGAGUUAGCAAUUCUUCAUCUCUCUCGAUCCAUCUGCCACUCCCAUCUUUAAGCCCUUUUACCAUAAUUCUUUUCUUACGGUAGGAUGCAUAGUUGUGAAAGAAAGUUGUGUUACUAUCACUCAUUUUAAGCCAGUUUGCCCUUGCUUGUUGUUCCCAAAAGAUUUCUUCUUUGUCUGUCUCCAUAUUUAAUGCUAGUUUAACCUCUGUAAUUUUCGCUAGUCGUUCUUCUUUAGGGUCUUCAUUAUUAAGUUCUUCAAGUGUUUGGCUUAAAACUUUCCUUGCUCUGUUCUGAAUACCUUUAUUGAUCCUGACCCAUUCUUUUAAACUAUUACCCAAACUUGCAAGUUUCCCUAGGAGAUCUUCAUUACUUGAUCCCCAUAUUCUAUUCACCUGUUCCUCGGAACCUUCUUCAAAAAUCAUUCUGGAUUGAAACGGAAGGGAAAAUUUCUUCCUUCAAAACCACCUCGAUGCCCCUAAAGUAUUCAUAAGCAACAAGCAAUGGCCUGAAAAACUAUUUGUCAAGUGGCAUACAGAAUAAUUAGGAAAACAACUCCACCAUUUCGGAUUUACCACUCCUCUGUCCUACCUUUUCACGUAUAAUUUUUUUAGCUAGUCGUCAUCUCUCCCAUGUAAAUCAUUGCCUUGAAAAAUCGAUGUCGCUUAACUCACAAUCUUCUAGUGCUUCCCUAAAUGUUUCUCUUUGUCUUUCUUCUCUCAACCUUCCACUUUUUUUCUUAAAAGAGUACAUUAUUUCAUUGAAAUCUUGCAUGACAAGCCAAGGCAGCUGACAAUCCUCAUACAGGUGUCGUAGAUUGUUCCAUGAAACCCUCCUUAGAUGCUUUACUGGAAAUCUAUAAAAUCCUGUGAAUAUUCAUUCGUUUUCUUCUCUUUCUUCUUUGACCUUCACAUCAAUGUGCGAACUAGAAAAGCUCUUAAGGCUAAUAGUUAAACUUUACUUCCAUCCUAAAAAGAGACCCCUUCUAGAACCCUCCACACCCACAUCAAUCCCAUUAAUGUAACAACCUAUUUUCCAUGAUGUUGAAAAUAGUGGUUUCAAAAGCACAAUUUCAACGAGUAAAUUAUUAUUUGUUAUUAUCUUAAUUUCAUCAAGAUUAAAUUAAGUUUUUAUUAUUGAAUUAAGGUUUUAUUAAAAUUUCAUUAAGAAAAUUUGAAGUUUACAUAGCUAAUUAAGUGAAAAGGACGAAAUCAUAAAAAGUGUAAAAGUUAAGUUCUAUUAGUUAAAAGGGUCAAAUAGCUAUGAAAUAUUAAACUAAGAGAGUUUAAUGGUAAUUACACCAAUUAAUGAGAUAAUGGAUGUUUAUGGACACAGUUUAAGUGAAAUUAUGGUAAAUAUUAAAGGUUAAUAUGGUAAAUAGAUAAUUACGCUUAAAGAAAAGAAAAGAAAAAUGUGUAUCAUCUUUUAUUCUUCACCCUAACUGAUUUUAAAGAAGAAGAAACUCCAUGGAUGAGUGCUUGGUACGACUAGGUUCAUUAUAGUGCAUGGUAUGUGUUUUUCAUCCUGUUUUUUAUGAUUUUCAUGUUUUUGAGUCUGUUUUAGCUUAAUCUAGCUAGCCCGGGGGUUAAUUUGUAAAAUUGUUAGAGGUUGAGGGUUAUUCCAUGGAUGCUUUUAAGGUGUUUUUUUUAUGUUAAAUGAUAGAUUAUGAAUCUUUUUUGAAAAAUAAAUAAGUUUUGUUAAGUGAUUUUUGAUGACUUUUGGAAAUAGGGAUUAAUUUGUUAAAUGUAUAUAUUCUAGGGUUUUAUUAUGGAAUCAUGAUAAAUAUGAGUUUUUCAAGGUCCCUUGUAUAUUUUAUUAACAUGGAUUUAGAUUAAAAUGGUUAGAUUUUUAGUUAUAAGCUUAAGGACUAAAUUGUGAAAAGUUAAAAUGUUAGGGGAAAAUUGGUAAUUUUGCAUAAUUAUGAAAUGAGGAUUAAAUUGAAUACUAGAAGUAUUUAAUUGAUUUAAAUUUUCCAUUUAUAUCAAGAUGAACCACGUUCAGACUUAAAUUGAGGAAAACCUAAAGCUUCCGACUAGUUUGAUUAAGCUACUACGCCCUAACUAUCGAGGUAAGUUCGUAUGAAUGGUUAUCGUGUUAAAGUUAUUUAGAUUGAAUGUUUACUAUGUUAUUUUUAAUUUAAAUGGAUCAAUAUAUAAAUGUAUCAAUGUUAUGACGAAUUGACGAAUAUUGAGUCUCGAUUGAACCUUAGGAAUUCUUUGGAUACAAAUGACAUGUCAUUAGGGAUUUCAUGUUUUGGGUGUUGUCUUGAAUGUCCUACUGAUGGUUGAGGUCUUGCAUUUGUUGUGGAUUCUCCACAACUCAUUUGGGCAGCAUCAUGUAGCUUACAUUCUGACCAACAGCUCGUGUGAGUAGGCCUAUUUCACAACUCAUGUGAGCAAUGAUGUAAAGGAAAGAUUACGAUUAUAUGUAAAGGCACAGUUUGUGUGAGAUUUCCCGAGUAUCUGAUGUAAUUCUAGAUGGUUCAACGGGUUUGAAAAGGAAACAAAAUGAUUAUCGGAAGCUCGAUUUGGUUUAAAGCUCGUCGAAGAUCUAUCACACUAUCUAGUAGUGAAUUUAGUAGUUUUUGAGAAUUUUAGCCAUGGUUUAUAAUGGCAUCUAUAGGAUGGUUUGUAAUGGUAUUUUGAUGAAUGUGCUAAUGUUGUUUUGGCAUGUAUAAGUUUUUGAAA